rnacentral:rRNA from 1 species
GAACUGAAGAGUUUGAUCCUGGCUCAGAUUGAACGCUGGCGGCAUGCCUUACACAUGCAAGUCGAACGGUAACGCGGGGCAACCUGGCGACGAGUGGCGAACGGGUGAGUAAUAUAUCGGAACGUACCCAGUAGUGGGGGAUAGCCCGGC